UAACACAAACUGUUGCGUUGUUAGCUGCACGCAUAGUUACAAAAAUUGUACUCCAGGAACGAAGUUUCUCCGUUUUUCGACGCGCCCAUGCCUGCAAGACCAGCGAGAGCGUUGGAUUCACUGCAUACGUCGUGCGAAUGCCGACGAUACUGAAUGGAAGCCCACGGUAUGGUCGAGAGUUUGCAGUGCGCACUUCGUUGGCGGUAAACCAUCGACGAAUCCCGCAUCUCUGUCAUAUACGCCGACCAUUCUUCUACCACCCUACCGCAAGCCGCUUGCGAUAUCUGAGGACAAGAAGUCCCGCUAUGAACGGUUGUAACAGAGUCAUCAUUGCUUCAUAGGGCUGCAGCUGUUGAAGGGAAACUGAAGGUCGCAACACAAACAGAUGCAAACACCUGUAACCUUCCUUCGUCUUGUAUCAUCCUCAGCUCUAUCCUCUAUUCACAUGAUGAGGCCCCUGUGGAGUGUAAUCACAAUCCUGCCCCUGCCCCUGCCCCCCCCCCCCCCCCCCCUCCCCCCCCCCCCAGACAGAGACCUCCGAAAAGGUAUUGGAACCGUAAAUGUGGACCAGUUCCAGCCCGGAGGAUUCAACGGCUACAAGUUUAUAUCAUCUGACAAUGAGCACAGUGAAGCCUUAAAGGAUCUGAUGGGAGUCUUGACUGCCUGCUUUGCAGUUCUGUUACGGAUGCUGACAGGGUUGGGCAGUAUCACGAUACAAAUGUACUGCAAUAUUAUUUCAUAAAUACUUUUAGUAUUUAUAUAUCUGUAUUGCGAUACAAUUUUUUCAAUCAGUAUCUGUAUUUCAGUAUUGGAAUACAUUCUCGGCUUAUUCCUUGUAUCGCUAUAAAAUACUGGGCCAAUGUAUCUCGUUACAAUGCUCAAGAAAUCAGUGACCCCUCAAGCGAGAGACUGUUUCCUUUCUUUUUUCACACUUCAAAGGGGUGGAAGGUACUGUAAAUGUGACCUUGAGGCUUUGUUUAUUUCUAACAUUAUGCUCCCAAGAUUGGUGACCCCCUUCCCUAUUUUCCAGCAAUAUGUCUUCCAGGGUGCUUCCGUUGGGCAACUAUUUUUGUUGAAUCAAAACGAUGAAGGCACUGUGCGUACAAGCUUUAAAGCUGUACAUUGCACUCCAAGUCUCAUUUACUAAAGCAAGCGUAAAGUUUCUUCCUUGAGAUUAUCCAAUAAAAGAACACCACUUCAUUCCAAGGCGACGUCUUGAAGUGACAGAGAAAAAGGCACCGACAUGGGACUAGAGGAUGCUAACCUUUCGGUGAUAUUUGAAUAGGUAUAAAACGAAUUUCGAGGUUCAUGUUAUAUUGAAAGUAUUUUCAACCUAUUAAAGACCCGCUUAGUUCACACAGGUUCAUGUUAGAAGGAAAAGGACAAUUUCAUGCGAAAAUAAUUUUGGGCUCGAGAGUUUCUUUUGUUUUCACUAGAUGACUCCUUUUUCGCCUUAGAAGCACAAACUCUGUCGACAAAGCCUGCAUGUUACUACCUCCAAGCAAGGUCUUCGUAAACAUAUAAAAAAUAAUACUGGCAUGGUUUAAAACGUUUUCACUGUGAAAGCGGUCUUCGUUUGUUUUAAUGUAAACCCGUGUUUGUUGACACUUGUGGAACGCUUAACCUUUUCGCUAACAUGAAUCUUUUCCCAAAUAGGCAGCAGCUCACUGACGGGCUCUUUAAAAAGCUGCUUUUCAUCCAAUGUAGUCGAGUGUAGCAGCAACGUUGUAUAUUUACAUUUGUUUGGUAUUGCUUCCAGAUAUAAAAAUAGUACAUGUAGCAAAAGGUAGUUUCAGUUUUGUUUUCCAAAUAGUAACUUUUUGCCGGUAAUACAAAAGUUCACAUCGCAAAGGGCUUCUUUUUUUAAAGUAUGUGAGAGCGUUACUGCCCCGGGACAAUAAAAAUUCCUGUAAAUGUAUUUUC